rnacentral:rRNA from 1 species
UACGGAGGGUGCAAGCGUUGUCCGGAUUUAUUGGGUUUAAAGGGUGCGUAGGCGGCCCGUUAAGUCAGCGGUGAAAUCCCAGGGCUCAACCCUGGAACUGCCGUUGAUACUGGCGGACUUGAGUUCGGUCGAGGCGGGCGGAACUGGUGGUGUAGCGGUGAAAUGCAUAGAUACCACCAAGAACCCCGAUUGCGUAGGCAGCUCGCUAGGCCGAAACUGACGCUGAGGCACGAAAGCGUGGGGAGCGAACAGG